rnacentral:rRNA from 1 species
UGGGCGUAAGCGUGCGCAGGCGGUUUGCUAAGACCGAUGUGAAAUCCCCGGGCUCAACCUGGGAACUGCAUUGGUGACUGGCAGGCUAGAGUAUGGCAGAGGGGGGUAGAAUUCCACGUGUAGCAGUGAAAUGCGUAGAGAUGUGGAGGAAUACCGAUGGCGAAGGCAGCCCCCUGGGCCAAUACUGACGCUCAUGCACGAAAGCGUGGGGAGCAAACAGGAUUAGAUACCCUGGUAGUCCACGCCCUAAACGAUGUCAACUAGUUGUUGGGGAUUCAUUUCCUUAGUAACGUAGCUAACGCGUGAAGUUGACCGCCUGGGGAGUACGGUCGCAAGAUUAAAACUCAAAGGAAUUGACGGGGACCCGCACAAGCGGUGGAUGAUGUGGAUUAAUUCGAUGCAACGCGAAAAACCUUACCUACCCUUGACAUGGUCGGAAUCCUGCUGAGAGGUGGGAGUGCUCGAAAGAGAACCGGCGCACAGGUGCUGCAUGGCUGUCGUCAGCUCGUGUCGUGAGA